rnacentral:rRNA from 1 species
CCUACGGGUGGCUGCAGUGGGGAAUAUUGCACAAUGGGGGAAACCCUGAUGCAGCGACGCCGCGUGAGCGAUGAAGUAUUUCGGUAUGUAAAGCUCUAUCAGCAGGGAAGAAAAUGACGGUACCUGACUAAGAAGCCCCGGCUAACUACGUGCCAGCAGCCGCGGUAAUACGUAGGGGGCAAGCGUUAUCCGGAUUUACUGGGUGUAAAGGGAGCGUAGACGGCGGUGCAAGCCAGAUGUGAAAGCCCGGGGCUCAACCCCGGGACUGCAUUUGGAACUGUGCUGCUAGAGUGUCGGAGAGGCAGGCUGAAGUCCGAGUGUAGCGGUGAAUUGCGUAGAUAGUAGGAGGAACACCAGUGGCGGAGGCGGCCUGCUGGACGAUGACUGACGUUGAGGUUCGAAAGCGGGGGGAGCAAACAGGAUUAGAUACCCGUGUAGUC